UACGUAGGGUGCGAGCGUUGUCCGGAAUUAUUGGGCGUAAAGAGCUUGUAGGCGGUUUGUCGCGUCUGCUGUGAAAAUCCGGGGCUCAACCCCGGACUUGCAGUGGGUACGGGCAGACUAGAGUGUGGUAGGGGAGACUGGAAUUCCUGGUGUAGCGGUGAAAUGCGCAGAUAUCAGGAGGAACACCGAUGGCGAAGGCAGCUCGCUGGGACGGUACUGACGCUGAGGCGCGAAAGCGUGGGGAGCGAACAGG
rnacentral:rRNA from 1 species